CCCUCGCGCGCCGCCAGCAGAGUGAGGCUGGGAGCCGGAAUAUGACGUCAUCUUCCGGCUCCCAGCCUCACUCUGCUGGCGGUGCGCG